rnacentral:rRNA from 1 species
GACGAACGCUGGCGGCGUGCCUAAUACAUGCAAGUCGAACGCAGUGGGGACGGGUGAGUAACACGUGGGUAACCUCCCAUCAGAGGGGAUAACACUUGGAAACCGGUGCUAAACCGAUACUGAUGGAUGGACCCGCGGUGCAUUAGCUGGUGGGUGGGGUAACGGCUCACCAAGGACACGAUGCAUAGCGGCCCUGAGAGGGGGUACGGCAAAACUGGGACGGAGAAACGGCCCAGACUCCUACGGGAGGCAGCAGUAGGGAAUCUUCGGCAAUGGACGAAGUUCUGACCGAGCAACGCCGCGUGAGUGAAGAAGGUGUUCGGGUCGUAAAACUCGGUUGUUAGGGAAGCGGUAUCUAACCAGAAAGCCACGGCUAACUACGUGCCAGCAGCCGCGGUAAUUC